rnacentral:piRNA from 1 species
UAUUGUGGUUAUAAAGGUUUU